rnacentral:rRNA from 1 species
UACGGAGGGGGCUAGCGUUGUUCGGAAUUACUGGGCGUAAAGCGCACGUAGGCGGAUGCUUAAGUCAGGGGUGAAAUCCCGGGGCUCAACCCCGGAACGGCCUUUGAUACUGGGUGUCUGGAGGUCGGGAGAGGCGAGUGGAAUUCCGAGUGUAGAGGUGAAAUUCGUAGAUAUUCGGAGGAACACCAGUGGCGAAGGCGGCUCGCUGGCCCGAUACUGACGCUGAGGUGCGAAAGCGUGGGGAGCAAACAGG